UACGUAGGUGACAAGCGUUGUCCGGAUUUACUGGGCGUAAAGAGUGCGUAGGCGGUCCUGUAAGUUUGGUGUGAAAUCUCCCGGCUCAACUGGGAGGGUGCGCCGAAGACUGCAGGGCUUGAGUAUGGGAGAGGUAAGCGGAAUUCCUGGUGUAGCGGUGAAAUGCGUAGAUAUCAGGAGGAACACCUGUGGUGUAGACAGCUUACUGGACCAUAACUGACGCUGAGGCACGAAAGCGUGGGUAGCAAACAGG
rnacentral:rRNA from 1 species